CUAUCAUUAGGUCGAAGUUUCUCGUCAAGUUGAUUGAAAACAAUGCUUUGUUAUAUUUUCAAAUUUCAUUGGCUAUAAGUUAAAUAAGAUUUAAUUGAACAAGAAAAAAACUACAUGAGCUAAUAAUACAUGAUAUUUUGGUGAACAAAGAGACCACGUAUAAUCCUAAUUCUAACAGAAUAACACACAUGUAGAUUACAUCAGCCAUGGCUUUGAAAUUUCAGGUGUCAUUGACUAGCUUUGGCCUGGAUGUUUUAGGAUCAAUUUCAACUCUGAGACCAAUUUC
rnacentral:lncRNA from 1 species